GGCGGGAGCCUUGAUGUCAUGAUGCCUUUUAUGAUCCGGGCAGUUUGGAUAUGUGGUUCAAGGCCCGUGGUGUUUUUCAGCAUCUUUGACGAAGCCGCAGAAGUUGAUGGACAAACAAACCUUGUUCAACCAACCAGUGCUAACCGGACGUGAUGCUUGAGCGGUACAUGGGGCAGCAGAUUCAAGUGGCGCUCGCUCGUGGGGAGGUGGCCAGGAGGGGGGCACCACCAGGGCUGCCUGAUUCGUACAAUGGUUUCUGUGUUUGUUAAGAUUCGUCGUGACUUGUUGUGGAAGGCCAAUAAUUAUGAUAAAAGAGGGGCAUGCUUAGUCAGCUGGAAGAAUGUUUGUUGGCCAAAGUCGCUUGGAGGCCUAGGUAUUUUGGACCUCAACUUGUUUAGCAGAGCCCUCCGGCUAAGGUGGAAGUGGUUUGAAUGGACAGACGGGAGGCGGCCAUGGGUUGGAACUACAGUGCCAUGUGACCAAAUUGAUUUAUCCCUAUUUGAUGCUUGCACUCAAUUUUCCGUGGGGAGGGGUAAUAUUGCUAUGUUGUGGACAACAAGGUGCCUGGACGGGGUUGCCCCGGCUGAGAUGGUGCCUAGUUUGUUCAAGCUGACUAGGCUUGAAAAGCUUACGGUUGUACAUGUCAUGCCAUGAUGGAUGACAAGUGGAUGACGGGACUAACCUGGAUCAACACGAAGAUCCAGCUUUGGGAAUUCACAGAGCUAUGGAUCAAGCUGCAAGGGGUAAACCUCACCGAGGAGGAUGAGAUCGCCUAGAAGCUCAAUGCCUCAUCCCAGUAUAGCUUGGCGUCUGGAUAGAAGGCACAGUUCAUCGGGUCUUACCCUGUUAUUGACUACAACAUGCGCUGGAAUUCCAAAGUUCAACCCAACUGUAAUUUUUUUAUGUGGCUUUGGCUGAGGCAGCGUAUUCUGAUGGACAGUAUGCUGCAGGCUAAAGGAAUUGAUCAUGGGAGCAUUGCGCUCUAUGUGAGCGGAAUCAAGAGACGGUUGAUCACCCCAUUAUGGGCUUCCCAUAUGACGGUUGUCUAAAGAGUCUGGUAAUUACUAGCCCAAUGGACGGGUGUUUCCGACCUGCAGAUUCGACGACACCAAUUCUCCUCUCUGGCUGAUUUGUGGAGACACAUGACAGGUAUGUUGUCAAAAGAUGAACUGAUGGUUGCCAGCUAUGGAGAGUGGCACCUAUGGAAGGAACGAUGCCGAAGAGUUUUUCAACAGAAGACACUAAAAUUCAAAAAAAAAAAGCAGAAGACACUAAUUGACCGGCACUGUUGGAACUACUUAAGGAUGAUCUUCUGAUACUGGGAGCCUAUCUACAGGAGAAAGCUCGAAGAGAUGAGACAGGCAUGGAGCCUAUCUACAGGAGAAAGCUCGAAGAGAGAUGAGACAUGCAUGGAGCCUAUUGAGAGCGAGUAGCCCGCUCCGUCUCUGUUUUCCGUUUCUCAUUCUUUUUUCUGUUUUUUUCCCUUGUCAGCCAGAUGCUCUCUAUCUUGUAUCAGACUCUUAUUCGCUGAACUGAAUUGCCACAACAUGCUGUUUUCCUCAAUAUAAAGAAAGAUGUUGUAGUGGGUCU